rnacentral:rRNA from 1 species
ACCAAGGCGACGAUCCGUAGCCGGUCUGAGAGGACGAUCGGCCACACUGGGACUGAGACACGGCCCAGACUCCUACGGGAGGCAGCAGUGGGGAAUUUUCCGCAAUGGGCGAAAGCCUGACGGAGCAAGACCGCGUGAGGGAGGAAGGCUCUUGGGUUGUAAACCUCUUUUCUCAAGGAAGAAGAAAUGACGGUACUUGAGGAAUCAGCAUCGGCUAACUCCGUGCCAGCAGCCGCGGUAAUACGGAGGAUGCAAGCGUUAUCCGGAAUGAUUGGGCGUAAAGCGUCCGCAGGUGGCAGUUCAAGUCUGCCGUUAAAGACUCCAGCUUAACUGGAGGAAGGCGGUGGAAACUGAACAGCUAGAGUGCGGUAGGGGCAGAGGGAAUUCCCGGUGUAGCGGUGAAAUGCGUAGAGAUCGGGAAGAACACCAGUGGCGAAAGCGCUCUGCUGGACCGCAACUGACACUCAGGGACGAAAGCUAGGGGAGCGAAUGGGAUUAGAUACCCCAGUAGUCCUAGCCGUAAACGAUGGAUACUAGGUGUUGUGCGUAUCGACCCGCGCAGUGCCGCAGCUAACGCGCUAAGUAUCCCGCCUGGGGAGUACGCACGCAAGUGUGAAACUCAAAGGAAUUGACGGGGGCCCGCACAAGCGGUGGAGUAUGUGGUUUAAUUCGAUGCAACGCGAAGAACCUUACCAGGACUUGACAUGUCCGGAAUCUCGGUGAAAGCUGAGAGUGCCUUCGGGAACCGGAACACAGGUGGUGCAUGGCUGUCGUCAGCUCGUGUCGUGAGAUGUUGGGUUAAGUCCCGCAACGAGCGCAACCCUCGUUUCUAGUUGCCAGCAUUAAGUUGGGCACUCUGGAGAGACUGCCGGUGACAAACCGGAGGAAGGUGGGGAUGACGUCAAGUCAGCAUGCCCCUUACGU